rnacentral:rRNA from 1 species
GAGUUUGAUCCUGGCUCAGGACGAACGCUGGCGGCGUGCUUAACACAUGCAAGUCGAACGAUGAUCCGGUGCUUGCACCGGGGAUUAGUGGCGAACGGGUGAGUAACACGUGAGUAACCUGCCCUUGACUCUGGGAUAAGCCUGGGAAACCGGGUCUAAUACCGGAUACGACCUUUCACCGCAUGGUGGUUGGUGGAAAGAUUUUUUGGUUUUGGAUGGACUCGCGGCCUAUCAGCUUGUUGGUGAGGUAAUGGCUCACCAAGGCGACGACGGGUAGCCGGCCUGAGAGGGUGACCGGCCACACCGGGACUGAGACACGGCCCAGACUCCUACGGGAGGCAGCAGUGGGGAAUAUUGCACAAUGGGCGAAAGCCUGAUGCAGCGACGCCGCGUGAGGGAUGACGGCCUUCGGGUUGUAAACCUCUUUCAGCAGGGAAGAAGCGAAAGUGACGGUACCUGCAGAAGAAGCGCCGGCUAACUACGUGCCAGCAGCCGCGGUAAUACGUAGGGCGCAAGCGUUGUCCGGAAUUAUUGGGCGUAAAGAGCUCGUAGGCGGUUUGUCGCGUCUGCUGUGAAAGCCCGGGGCUCAACCCCGGGUCUGCAGUGGGUACGGGCAGACUAGAGUGCAGUAGGGGAGACUGGAAUUCCUGGUGUAGCGGUGAAAUGCGCAGAUAUCAGGAGGAACACCGAUGGCGAAGGCAGGUCUCUGGGCUGUAACUGACGCUGAGGAGCGAAAGCAUGGGGAGCGAACAGGAUUAGAUACCCUGGUAGUCCAUGCCGUAAACGUUGGGCACUAGGUGUGGGGGACAUUCCACGUUUUCCGCGCCGUAGCUAACGCAUUAAGUGCCCCGCCUGGGGAGUACGGCCGCAAGGCUAAAACUCAAAGGAAUUGACGGGGGCCCGCACAAGCGGCGGAGCAUGCGGAUUAAUUCGAUGCAACGCGAAGAACCUUACCAAGGCUUGACAUGGACCGGACCGCCGCAGAAAUGCGGUUUCCCUUCGGGGCUGGUUUACAGGUGGUGCAUGGUUGUCGUCAGCUCGUGUCGUGAGGCAACGCUGCGGUGAAUACGUUCCCGGGCCUUGUACACACCGCCCGUCAAGUCACGAAAGUUGGUAACAC